UACAGAGGGUGCGAGCGUUAAUCGGAAUUACUGGGCGUAAAGCGUGCGUAGACGGUUAUUUAAGUCAGAUGUGAAAGCCCCGGGCUCAACCUGGGAAUUGCAUUUGAGACUGAAUAGCUAGGGUACGGUAGAGGGAAGCGGAAUUUCCGGUGUAGCGGUGAAAUGCGUAGAUAUCAGGAGGAAUACCGGUGGCGAAAGCGACUCUCUGGACGGCAACUGACGCUGAGGCACGAAAGCGUGGGGAGCAAACAGG
rnacentral:rRNA from 1 species